rnacentral:rRNA from 1 species
GAUGAACGCUGGCGGCGUGCCUAAUACAUGCAAGUCGAGCGAACAGACGAGGAGCUUGCUCCUCUGACGGUAGCGGCGGACGGGUGAGUAACACGUGGAUAACCUACCUAUAAGACUGGGAUAACUUCGGGAAACCGGAGCUAAUACCGGAUAAUAUAUUGAACCGCAUGGUUCAAUAGUGGAAGACGGUUUUGCUGUCACAUAUAGAUGGAUCCGCGCGGCAUUAGCUAGUUGGUAAGGUAACGGCUUACCAAGGCAACGAUGCGUAGCCGACCUGAGAGGGUGAUCGGCCACACUGGAACUGAGACACGGUCCAGACUCCUACGGGAGGCAGCAGUAGGGAAUCUUCCGCAAUGGGCGAAAGCCUGACGGAGCAACGCCGCGUGAGUGAUGAAGGUCUUCGGAUCGUAAAACUCUGUUAUUAGGGAAGAACAGAUGUGUAAGUAACUAUGCACGUCUUGACGGUACCUAAUCAGAAAGCCACGGCUAACUACGUG